UGGCCCUACGGGGCGCAGCAGUGAGGAAUAUUGGUCAAUGGGCGCGAGCCUGAACCAGCCAAGUCGCGUGAGGGAGGACGGCCCUACGGGUUGUAAACCUCUUUUGCCGGGGAGCAACGGGCGUCACGUGUGGCGCCACUGAGAGUACCCGGAGAAAAAGCAUCGGCUAACUCCGUGCCAGCAGCCGCGGUAAUACGGAGGAUGCGAGCGUUAUCCGGAUUUAUUGGGUUUAAAGUGUGCGUAGCGGGUUCGUUAAGUCAGUGGCCAAAUUGAGGGGCUCAACCCCUUCCAGCC
rnacentral:rRNA from 1 species